rnacentral:tRNA from 1 species
GGCAUAGCUCAGUGGUAGAGCAUGUGCUUAGCAUGCACAAGGUCCUGGGUUCAAUCCCCAGUACUGCCA